rnacentral:tRNA from 1 species
AUCUUCAUGGUGUAGUGGUCAGCACGCUCAAUGUGUAUUUGAGAGGUCCGUGGUUCGAGUCCUAGUGAGGGCA